rnacentral:pre_miRNA from 1 species
CGGCCCGGGUCCGCUUACCCUGUAGGUACGACCUUGCGUGUCCACAAAAAGGUUGCAAGGUUGUGACUACAGCGUACGCGGCCCCGGGAAC